rnacentral:misc_RNA from 1 species
GGACUACGAGGGUAUCUAAUCCUGUUUGCUCCCCACGCUUUCGCACCUCAGUGUCAGUAUCAGUCCAGGUGGUCGCCUUCGCCACUGGUGUUCCUUCCUAUAUCUACGCAUUUCACCGCUACACAGGAAAUUCCACCACCCUCUACCGUACUCUAGCCCAGUAGUUUUGGAUGCAGUUCCCAGGUUGAGCCCGGGGCUUUCACAUCCAACUUGCUGAACCACCUACGCGCGCUUUACGCCCAGUAAUUCCGAUUAACGCUUGCACCCUUCGUAUUACCGCGGCUGCUGACAC